rnacentral:rRNA from 1 species
UCGGGAAUUUUGGGCAAUGGGCGAAAGCCUGACCCAGCAACGCCGCGUGAAGGAUGAAGUAUUUCGGUAUGUAAACUUCGAAAGAAUAGGAAGAAUAAAUGACGGUACUAUUUAUAAGGUCCGGCUAACUACGUGCCAGCAGCCGCGGUAAUACGUAGGGACCAAGCGUUGUUCGGAUUUACUGGGCGUAAAGGGCGCGUAGGCGGCUUGACAAGUCACUUGUGAAAUCUCUGGGCUUAACCCAGAACGGCCAAGUGAAACUGUCAUGCUAGAGUGCAGAAGGGGCAAUCGGAAUUCUUGGUGUAGCGGUGAAAUGCGUAGAUAUCAAGAGGAACACCUGAGGUGAAGACGGGUUGCUGGGCUGACACUGACGCUGAGGCGCGAAAGCC